GACGAACGCUGGCGGCGUGCCUAACACAUGCAAGUCGAGCGGAGAUGUACUGAAGAUUUAUCGGAUGUACAUCUUAGCGGCGGACGGGUGAGUAACGCGUGGGCAACCUGCCUUCCACUGGGGGAUAACACAGGGAAACCUGUGCUAAUACCGCAUGACAUCACAUAGGGCAUCCUGUGUGAUCAAAGGAGUGAUCCGGUGGAAGAUGGGCCCGCGUCCGAUUAGCUAGUUGGUAAGGUAAAGGCUUACCAAGGCGACGACGGGUAGCCGGUCUGAGAGGAUGUACGGCCACACUGGGACUGAGAUACGGCCCAGACUCCUACGGGAGGCAGCAGUUGGGAAUCUUAGGCAAUGGACGAAAGUCUGACCUAGCGACGCCGCGUGAGGGAAGAAGGCCUUCGGGUUGUAAACCGUACUGUCAUGGGGAAGGAAGUAAGUGACGGUACCCAACGAGGAAGCCCCUGCUAACUACGUGCCAGCAGCCGCGGUAAACGAGUAGUACA
rnacentral:rRNA from 1 species